GUGAGUGACAACAUGAGGCUCAAUAAACUGUACCUUUUAUUCUUUAACCAAGAGAGUGCAAUGAGAGUAAUAAAAAAGUUCUCAGCGUUGCAGAGAGCACAUAAAAGUGGGCUGCAGUAUUGAUUCCACCAGAAUCAAUCUGGAUCUUGAUCCAGACCAGGAUCAAGAUCAAGGAUAGACCUGGGUACUCAGGACUCCUCCAGCACUCCUCCUGCUAGCUGUCAUUGUUCUGGGCACAUUUGCUGAUUCCUCUGAGGAUUAAGAGUUGGAUGUCAGUGUAUUCAGACACAUUCUGACUUUAUUCCUCACCAAUUCAUUAAAAAUGAUCAGUUGAUACAUAAGGAUCCUUUCUGCAGAAGAAAAGAAGUCAAACCACACUGAAAGAUGGGAAAAUAAUUUCUUCGGAUCCCUGCAUAUGUGCAUCUGAACAUGGGAGAGAGAAAAAUAAAGAGGGGCAGACAGAAAAUAAAACACAUCUCCUCAGAAGAAACAAACUGUUAGUCUUUAGAGUGGUGAUAUGUAUAUAUUGAAAGAGAACUAGACAAAAAGUUCAGACGUUUGGGCUCUAUGAUUCUGAGCAAGCAUCUGAGCUUCUUUAUACUCAGUUGUAAAUGUUAAAACAUGGGAAAAUGAAACAAAACAUCUCCUCCUUGACAAAACUGUCAAGAGGAGAUAAUAAAAUUGAAAGUGC
rnacentral:lncRNA from 10 species